GAUGAACGCUGGCGGCGUGCCUAAUACAUGCAAGUCGAGCGAACGGACGAGAAUCUUGCUUCUCUGAUGUUAGCGGCGGACGGGUGAGUAACACGUGGAUAACCUACCUAUAAGACUGGGAUAACUUCGGGAAACCGGAGCUAAUACCGGAUAAUAUUUUGAACCGCAUGGUUCAAAAGUGAAAGACGGUCUUGCUGUCACUUAUAGAUGGAUCCGCGCUGCAUUAGCUAGUUGGUAAGGUAACGGCUUACCAAGGCAACGAUGCAUAGCCGACCUGAGAGGGUGAUCGGCCACACUGGAACUGAGACACGGUCCAGACUCCUACGGGAGGCAGCAGUAGGGAAUCUUGCGCAAUGGGCGAAAGCCUGACGGAGCAACGCCGCGUGAGAGAUGAAGGUCUUCGGAUCGUAAAACUCUGUUAUUAGGGAAGAACAUAUGUGUAAGUAACUGUGCACAUCUUGACGGUACCUAAUCAGAAAGCCACGGCUAACUACGUG
rnacentral:rRNA from 1 species